GCGACCCUAGGUGAGGCAGGAUCACCCAC
rnacentral:rRNA from 1 species